ensembl:snRNA U4 U4 spliceosomal RNA
ACCUUUGUGUAGAGGCAGUAUUGUAGCCAAUGAGAUUCAUCGAAGGUGUAAUUAUUGCUAAUUGAAUUGAUCAGUCCAUGUUGUUUUCAUGUAUGGAAAUAUCACAAUAAAACUCAUUAAUAUGU